rnacentral:rRNA from 1 species
UACGGGGGGGGCAAGCGUUGUUCGGAAUUACUGGGCGUAAAGGGCGCGUAGGCGGUUCGCUAAGUUGGAUGUGAAAACUCUGGGCUUAACCCAGAGCCUGCAUCCAAAACUGGCGAACUGGAGUACUGGAGGGGAAAGCGGAAUUCCUGGUGUAGCGGUGAAAUGCGUAGAUAUCUGGAGGAAUACCGGUGGCGAAGGCGGCAUCCUGGACCGAGAUUGACGCUGAACGGCGAAAGCUAGGGGAGCAAACGGG